UUAGUAUUCCUUUUGUUCGGAAUUAUUUGUCGUAGAAAUGAAUGUAUCUAGACGUAUUUUAGUUAUAGAUACAUUCAUAUCCGAAACAAGUAAUUCCGAACAAAGAGAGUACCUU
rnacentral:pre_miRNA from 1 species